AACGUAGGUGGCAAGCGUUAUCCGGAUUUACUGGGCGUAAAGGGUGUGCAGGCGGGGUAGCAAGUGGGGUAUGAAAUCUCCAGGCUUAACCUGGAGGGGUUAUGCCAGACUGCUGCUCUAGAGGACGAGAGAGGGGGGUGGAAUUCCGGGUGUAGUGGUGAAAUGCGUAGAGAUCCGGAGGAACCCCAGAGGCGAAGGCGACCACCUGGACUGAUACUGACACUGAGGUGCGAAAGCGUGGGGAGCAAACAGG
rnacentral:rRNA from 1 species